UAAAACGUACAGGUUUUCUGUUUAGAGCGGUGAUAUUGUAAGAGGAGAGUCUAUUGUGCUGGUGGUUAUGCAGAUCCACUGAUAAUGGGGAAUGGAACAAAACUCAUUGUGAGCCCAAAAGAUACAACAACCAAGACUCCUUCUCUGUCUGUAUUCACCCCUCCAGAUGGAAGGGAUACAGCAGCAUGUGUGGCCACUGGAUUCAUUCCAAAACAAUGGGACAUUUUCAUGAAGGUUGGUGACUCAUUCUUAAAUACAACCUCGGAGAAAGCCGUGCUGUCCCUGACUGAUAAAACCUACAACUUUGCCACCUUCAUGACUGUCAAGAAAAAAGGUGAGCAAGUCACAUGUGAAGCAGGCGGAGAGAAAGUACAAUCCUUCAUGAACGAAGAAUCAAAAGCAGAAGUCAUCCCUGCCCAAAACUGUGUAAAAAAUGACACAAUCACCGAUAAGAAGAGGGUGACUAUUGAAAACAUACAGCUCAAUUUCAAGUCCCUGACUGUGCAAGGUUUGAGAGUGAUGUUUGUUAAAACUGUGGCCUUCAAUUUUCUGAUGACGGCCCGAGCCUUGAUGUUCUGAGGCCUGGGAAUGAGAUAUAGAUACAGCAAAGCACAGAGGGAGCUGUUGGAAAUUUAAAUCGCUUUGAGAUUGCAUUGCUUCUAGUUAUGUUUUUUUUUUUUUUUUUUUUUUUUAAAUGUAUAUUAGGUUGCUUGGGUGUAAAAUUUGAAGUAAAAAAAUGCUUUAACAGUGAAAUAAUGAGUUUUAUUAACUUAUCCUAUUAGAUUUUUGGUUAAAGCUUGA